CAUGCUUAACACAUGCAAGUCGAACGGUAACGCGGAGAGCUUGCUCUCUGGCGACGAGUGGCGGACGGGUGAGUAAUACAUAGGAAUCUGCCCAGUAGCGGGGGAUAGCUCGGGGAAACCCGAAUUAAUACCGCAUACGCCCUACGGGGGAAAGCGGGGGAUCUUCGGACCUCGCACUAUUGGAUGAGCCUAUGUCUGAUUAGCUUGUUGGUGGGGUAACGGCCUACCAAGGCGACGAUCAGUAGCUGGUCUGAGAGGACGAUCAGCCACACCGGGACUGAGACACGGCCCGGACUCCUACGGGAGGCAGCAGUGGGGAAUAUUGGACAAUGGGGGCAACCCUGAUCCAGCAAUGCCGCGUGUGUGAAGAAGGCCUGCGGGUUGUAAAGCACUUUCAGUAGAGAAGAAAAGGGUGGGGUUAAUAACCCCGCCUCUUGACGUUAUCUACAGAAGAAGCACCGGCUAACUCCGUGCCAGCAGCCGCGGUAAUACG
rnacentral:rRNA from 1 species